AUGUUUGNGCACAUGGGCUUAAAUAGCCUGGA
rnacentral:piRNA from 1 species